GCCAAACCGCUGCGCCACCCAGGGAUCCCAGGGAUGUAUUUUAAAAAGGCAGUCAAGGUGAUGUAAGGGCAUCCAAUCCAGCAGGCAAAGACUGAAUCAGGAGAAUGUGGUGCCAAGAAAUGCCUGGGGCUCUGAGAAAUGUCAGAAGUCCUCGCAGUAGAGUGGAUGGAAGGGCAUGGAUGACCCUUGAAGAUCCAGGCAGAGAGGAAUCCUGGUUAACGUAAGUUGCUCUCUCACAAGGCUGAGUUUACAACAGAAAUUAAUGAACAAGUUGACUAAGGUUUAAGGCAACUUACCUUGAACGUGCAUAAUGUACCAGGAAUAAGACACAGCUGACUAAAAAGGUGUGCAACCAGAAUUUCUCCAGGCUUCCUUAUUAGAUUGCAUCAGAAAAGAUACUAAUUGUGUAAUAUUCAAAUCCCGCUGGUUAAUUGUUCCCAGUUUCUGAACCAAGACCUGAAGUCCCUGCUAAGUUUCCUCCUCACCAGCCUUCUGGGAGCCAUCGGAGAAUGUGUUCAAAGAUAAGUGUGCUCACCCGGGACCUGCGGCCUUUCUGGCAUGCACCUGCCAAGUCCUCUCAGGGGAUUCUCUGUGGUCUCCUGGCUGGCACAGACUCAGCGGGCCUCCCUGUCGGGCACCAUCACUGAGUCCUACAGAUUGACCUCAAAGUGGGCACAGAGAUCUACAAGUGCCCUCAGCGAGCUCCAAAUCCCACUUCAACCGAGGCAGUCCUCUUUUAUCCAGUUCAUAAGGGGUCUCUUUCUGUGUUGACUUCACUAAAGAAUUUGAACUUCUAACAGGUGUUUGAAGACCAUUUCCCCAGAGCCUCCCUGGUGCCAGGACUCUGCUGCAUUCCGGGGAAAAGUGGGCAAGUGCUCAUUUUCCUGCUCAGCGUAGAACUUUGUUACGUGGGGAACAAAGUCCUGCUGUUCAGACCCUAAAUGCCACAAAAUUGCUUAUUAAAAUAAUUUCUGCCAUUUGGGCUUUCAGUGCCUUUCUCCAGAGAUGUCAGACCCGAUCUGUGGGGCAGGCUGGGAAUAAACAGGCUGCUUGUCUCUGUCAGAGUCCUCAGUUGUUACUAAUUGAAAUGUUCUGUGAGCAGAAAAGGAAUUUAUUGAAGAAUAUAAGAUUUCCCAGAAGGCCAGCAACCAAGCUGGGAGGCCCGGGACAGGACCAAUGCCCAGAAUCACCCUGAAGAACCGCUUUGGUAGAAGGAGCACUGUUGCUCCUGCCAGGCACACACACGUUGCUGGUGCUGGGUCUUGGCUGGUGCACGACCUUGGCCACCCCUCCUUCUGGAAACUGAUUUACCUGCAGCCAUUCUCACCCGAAUGGACCCCAGAUGGCACUUGUUUCUCUGCCAACACCUGCUUCUGGGUCACAACCUUGCUCAGGUGUGUGUGGUUGUCAGGGCCUGUGUUCCAGUGUGUUCUAGCUGCAGGGGAGGUGGGCGGUUCUCCAACUGGGGGAAGCAUGUCCAGUUGCACUGAAAAGCUCAAAAACAGUGGGCCUCAGUGGAGCUCCCAGCGAACAGCCAGCAGCCAGCCUCCACCUGCUGGCUGUGUGAGUGGGCCAUUUGGAGACACUUGAUGGGAUGAGCACUGGGUGUUAUGCUAUAUGUUGGCAAAUUGAACUCCAAUUAAAAAAAAAAAAAAAGGAAGUGUGUUUGCACAGGACUUCCUGGAUCCUUCUCAUUACCAGGCUGGCCCCAGUGACUGCUUUUAUCUCUACUGAGAUCUUUAUUAGCCAGAACAGACAGCAGGCUAUCCAUGACCCUGAGCUCAGCCUCUGCCUUGCGUGGCUCAGAGAAGGCUUCUCCCUGGGUUUUUCUAGCCAGAUGGUCCAGUUACCUUGCUAACUAAGGUGCAUCUGGCACUUGGCGCUUCCACUUCUGUUCUUUUUCCUCUGCUGCCCUCUAGGGGACCCAUUUAGGUCCUUCACGUGCCAGGCAAAAAAUCUCCCUGACUGGUGGGAACUAUUCCAGACAUCUCACAUACACCUUCUCCUCUAUUCCUGACGACUUUCUGAGGCAUCCUAGUUUUCCAUGGCACCGGAACGAGAAAGAGAAACGUUGACAUUCACACAGUCACCCUUCUGACCUCACUUCAGAGCUGUGGCACCUCCCGGCCAAGACUUCCAGCUUUGUUCCUCCCAUUUUCCACUUCAUGUUGAGCACGAUGAGACUUGACUGAGACUUAAACUCCCUUGCCUGAUACAGAAAGGAUACAGUAAAUGAAAAACCUUCCUACAAUCAAGUUCAAAUUAGUUUCACUCUUAUUCUUUAUUAAUCACCAUUCCUAAAGCACCUUUCCACCCUCUGAGGGAAGAAGAGAGGAAAGCAACAUAUAAGCACUGUGUGAUCAGGUCCUCCUGCCCUCACUCUGUCUAGGACAGGGUGACCACCAAACUCCUGAACUGGAAACUCCCAUGGUCAGUGGAGGAAAAAUCCAGCAGCUGAUACAUGAGGACCCACAGUCUGCAAGUUCCCUGUGUAUCCUAUCAGGUGGAUAGAAGCCAAGGAAGGUAGGUUCAUUUCAUUUUUAUAGGACUGAUUUGCCUGGUCAGAUUAGGUACCCAGAGGCUAGCCUCAACCAUCCCCAUUCUCCUUUCUCCUGGGUUAAAAAAUGAGGAUUAUAGUGGCCUGGUCCUGAUGAUGGUUCUACAUUUUACAAAACAGCUUCACAAGAUAAUAGUUUCUAAAUAGGUCUUGCAGAAAGAGAAAUGUAAAUUUAUUCACUGUAGCUGGUUCAACAAUUUUAUGAACUAAUUUUAAAAGAAGGGCCUUGACUUUCUUACAUGUUUUAUACAAGGUAGAAGGACAAGGGGGAAACUCAGUAAAUGGUUUCUGGCUCGAGGAAUGAAUGAGCAUGUGGAGAUUUCUGUGACCCUUCAUGACACUUCUCUCCCUCUAACCUCUGUGUUGAACUUCUUGGCCCUUUGUCCCAUCAGCACAUUGUAGUUCCCAUCUAUUGUUCUAUUCAUUCAUCACACGGAUUUCAGUGAGCUGUCAAGAAUCACCCUCACGCCACACCUCUACGACUGCUACUAGCACCACCAACAAAUAGUGUUGAGGUAGAGUGAUUUUAUAAGUAUUUAAAACUAUAUUGAAAUAAACUCAGAUGCCUCCAUCAACGUUGGGGUUUUUUUUUUGUUGUUGUUGUUGUUGUUUUAAGAAAAGAGAAAUAGGUGAUAAAAUUUUUGCAGCACUUACACAAAUGAGCCCUCUCUAGGCAAAGUUCCUAGUGAUUCAGUCACACUGUUCACAGCAUAUAUCUCUGCUGGAUACACAAGUUUUAGUUAUUUGUAUGUUGUUUUCUAAAAGUAAA